CAUUUUCCUUUUUUCACUAUUUGAUUUAAAUACUUUAUUUCUUAUUUUGUUGUUAACUCUUUCUUCCUGAAAUCCCUCGUCUCUCUCUUUCUCAAUCCCUAAAUUCCUCCAUGCCUCCGAUCUCUAGCCUCUCACUGCACCUCGCGCACAAUCGACUAUCGCCUUUAGCCUUUCCGAAUAAAUAACUAUUGAAUUCAGCUCAUCCUCGUCUCCUCUGGCGGGUCAAUUAAAGUUGAGCGCCACCUCUGCUUGCUGGGGACGCCGCCUCCCUCGAUCCCAUCACCCCGCUGGCCGAGGUGAAGAGCUAGCGUUCCGCCUCCGCUGUCCAGGUCGAGGAAGUUGAGCACGGGCAAUGCUGGGCAUUCUUUCAGUAAUGGUGGAGAGGUCAUGUGAGAAAGCUAGCCCUUUACCUUUUUUUUUUUUUUUUUUUUGUAUAGGUGCUUCACUUUUAGAAGUGCCAUAUAAAUAAUUAUUGUGAAUGUUUGGGUGACAGAAACUGUUUGACAAAGUAUUUUAGAAAACCAUAGUGAGGGGUGUGUUCAGUGUGUUCUUUUCCUUUUUCACCUUCUUUAAUCUGUAACUUACAUGUGAUUGCUAGUAGUUGUAGUGCAACUAUAUACAUGUGUGCAUGCUAUGUUCUUGAUAAUAAGAUAUGUAGUAGUAGCAUUUUUCUUAUCUUUGCCUUCCGUAAUGGUUGUAUUGUUGCCACUAUGUAAUGGUUUAUGGGUAGUUGGUUCAA